rnacentral:rRNA from 1 species
GAUGAACGCUAGCUACAGGCUUAACACAUGCAAGUCGAGGGGCAGCGCAGUGUAGCAAUACAUGGGCGGCGACCGGCGCACGGGUGCGUAACGCGUAUCCAACCUUCCCGUUACUCAGGGAUAGCCUUCCGAAAGGGAGAUUAAUACCUGAUGGUGUUCAAAUUCCGCAUGUUAUUUGAACUAAAGAUUCAUCGGUAACGGAUGGGGAUGCGUGACAUUAGAUAGUAGGCGGGGUAACGGCCCACCUAGUCUACGAUGUCUAGGGGUGCUGAGAGGAAGGUCACCCACACUGGAACUGAGACAAGGUCCAGACUCCUACGGGAGGCAGCAGUGAGGAAUAUUGGUCAAUGGUCGGAAGACUGAACCAGCCAAGUAGAGUGAAGGAUGAAGGUUCUAUGGAUUGUAAACUUCUUUUAUACGGGAAUAAAACCUCCCACGUGUGGGAGCUUGUAUGUACCGUAUGAAUAAGCAUCGGCUAACUCCGUGCCAGCCGCCGCUGUAAGAC